GGCCAUAGCUCAGGUGGUAGAGCAUCUGCUUUGCAUGCAGAAGGUGCCAAGUGCAAUCUCUGGCAUCUCCA